rnacentral:rRNA from 1 species
AUACGGAGGUGGUUAGCGUUGUUCGGAAUUACUGGGCGUAAAGCGCACGUAGGCGGACUGGAAAGUUGGGGGUGAAAUCCCGGGGCUCAACCCCGGAACUGCCUCCAAAACUUCCAAUCUAGAGAUCGAGAGAGGUGAGUGGAAUUCCAAGUGUAGAGGUGAAAUUCGUAGAUAUUUGGCGGAACACCAGUGGCGAAGGCGGCUCACUGGCUCGAUACUGACGCUGAGGUGCGAAAGCGUGGGGAGCAAACAGGAUUAGAAUCCCUAGUAGUCC